UACGGAGGGUGCAAGCGUUAUCCGGAUUCACUGGGUUUAAAGGGUGCGUAGGCGGACAGGUAAGUCAGUGGUGAAAUCUCUGGGCUUAACCCAGAAACUGCCGUUGAUACUAUUUGUCUUGAAUAUCCUGGAGGUAGGCGGAACAUGUCAUGUAGCGGUGAAAUGCUUAGAUAUGACAUAGAACACCGAUAGCGAAGGCAGCUUACUACAGGAUGAUUGACGCUGAGGCACGAAAGCGUGGGGAGCAAACAGG
rnacentral:rRNA from 1 species